UGGUCAAGUUAUUAAGGGUGCAGGGCGGAUGCCUUGGCACUAGGAGCCGAUGAAGGACGUGAUAAGCUGCGAUAAGCUUCGGGGAGUUGCACGUAAACUUUGAUCCGAAGAUUUCCGAAUGAGGAAACUCACUUAGAGUAAUGUCUAAGUAUCAUUAAGUGAAUACAUAGCUUAAUGAGGGGAACUCAGGGAACUGAAACAUCUAAGUACCUGAAGGAAGAGAAAGAAAUUCGAUUCCGUAAGUAGCGGCGAGCGAACGCGGAUUAGCCCAAACCAAUAAAGUUUUCUUUAUUGGGGUUGNNNNNNNNNNNNNNNNNNNNNNNNNACGGGACACGUGAAACCCUGUGGGAAGCAGGAGGGACCACCCUCCAAGGCUAAAUACUACCUAGUGACCGAUAGCGUAUAGUACCGUGAGGGAAAGGUGAAAAGAACCCCGGGAGGGGAGUGAAAUAGAACCUGAAACCCUGCACUUACAAGCUGUGGAAGCACAUUUCUUGUGUGACCGCGUACUUUUUGUAGAACGGGCCAACGAGUUACGUUAAGUAGCAAGGUUAAGCACUUAAGGUGCGGAGCCGUAGCGAAAGCGAGUUUUAACUGAGCGUUCAGUUACUUGACGUAGACCCGAAACCGGGCGACCUACCCAUGAGCAGGAUGAAGCGAAAGUAAAAUUUCGUGGAGGUCCGAACCCACGAGCGUUGAAAAGCUCGGGGAUGACUUGUGGGUAGCGGUGAAAUUCCAAUCGAGCCCGGAGAUAGCUGGUUCUCCCCGAAAUAGCUUUAGGGCUAGCCUCAAGGUGAGAGAUACGGAGGUAGAGCACUGAAUGUCCUAGGGGGUAUUGCACCUACCGAAGACUAUCAAACUCCGAAUGCCGUCAUCUUAUACUUGGGAGUCAGACUGUGGGUGAUAAGAUUCAUAGUCGAAAGGGCAACAGCCCAGAUCGUCAGCUAAGGUCCCUAAAUGUAAGUUAAGUGGUAAAGGAUGUGGGAUUGCACAGACAACCAGGAUGUUGGCUUAGAAGCAGCCACUCAUUCAAAGAGUGCGUAAUAGCUCACUGGUCGAGUGAUCCUGCGCCGAAGAUUUCCGGGGCUAAAACUUACUACCGAAGCUACGGCAUCAGUAAUGAUGGGUAGGGGAGCUUCCCAUACGGGUUGAAGCAUGACCGUAAGGACAUGUGGACAGUAUGGGAGUGAGAAUGUUGGCAUGAGUAGCGAGAUGUGGGUGAGAAUCCCACAGGCCGUAAACCCAAGGUUUCCAGGGGAAGGUUCGUCCGCCCUGGGUUAGUCGGGACCUAAGCUGAGGCCGAAAGGCGUAGGUGAUGGACAACAGGUUGAUAUUCCUGUACUACCGAUAACCGUUUGAGAGAAGGGAUGACACAGUAGGAUAAGCUAAGCACACUGUUGGUUAUGUGUGCCCAAGCAUUGAGGCAGUCAAAGUAGGCAAAUCCGCUUUGAUAAUGCUGGGAUGUGAUGGGGAGCGAAAUUUAGUAGCGAAGUAGCUGAUUUCACACUGUCAAGAAAAGUCUCUAUCGAGGUUAAAGGUACCCGUACCGCAAACCGACACAGGUGGGUGAGGAGAGUAUCCUAAGGCCAGCGAGAGAACUGUUGUUAAGGAACUCGGCAAAAUGACCCCGUAACUUAGGGAUAAGGGGUGCCACCAUCAGGUGGCCGCAGAGAAUAGGCCCAAGCGACUGUUUACCAAAAACAUAGGUUUCUGCUAAGUCGCAAGACGAUGUAUAGGAGCUGACGCCUGCCCGGUGCUGGAAGGUUAAGGGGAUCUGUUAGAGCAAUCGAAGCAGUGAACUUAAGCCCCAGUAAACGGCGGCCGUAACUAUAACGGUCCUAAGGUAGCGAAAUUCCUUGUCGGGUAAGUUCCGACCCGCACGAAAGGCGUAACGAUUUGGGCACUGUCUCAACAACAGACUCGGUGAAAUUGUAAUUCCGGUGAAGAUGCCGGAUACCUGCGACAGGACGGAAAGACCCCAUGGAGCUUUACUGUAGCUUGACAUUGGGUCUUGGUACUACAUGUACAGGAUAGGUGGGAGGCUUUGAAACCAGGACGCCAGUUUUGGCGGAGCCAUCCUUGGGAUACCACCCUUGUAGUACUGGGACUCUAACCAUAGGCCAUGAAUCUGGUCUUGGGACACUGUCAGGUGGGCAGUUUGACUGGGGCGGUCGCCUCCCAAAAGGUAACGGAGGCGCUCAAAGGUUCUCUCAGUACGGUCGGAAAUCGUACGUAGAGUGUAAAGGCAAAAGAGAGCUUGAUUGCAAGACAUACAGGUCGAGCAAGGAUGAAAAUCGGACUUAGUGAUCCGGUGGUUCUGCGUGGAAGGGCCAUCGCUCAACGGAUAAAAGCUACCCUGGGGAUAACAGGCUUAUCUCCCCCAAGAGUCCACAUCGACGGGGAGGUUUGGCACCUCGAUGUCGGCUCAUCACAUCCUGGGGCUGUAGUAGGUCCCAAGGGUUGGGCUGUUCGCCCAUUAAAGUGGUACGCGAGCUGGGUUCAGAACGUCGUGAGACAGUUCGGUCCCUAUCCGUCGCAGGCGUAGGAAAUUUGAGAAGACCUGUCCUUAGUACGAGAGGACCGGGAUGGACGUACCUCUGGUGUACCAGUUGUCCUGCCAAGGGCAUGGCUGGGUAGCUAUGUACGGAAUGGAUAAGCGCUGAAAGCAUCUAAGCGCGAAGCCAACUUCAAGAUAAGAUUUCCCACCGCAAGGGUAAGACCCCAGAAAGACUAUCUGGUUGAUAGGUCGAAGGUGUAAGUGCAGCAAUGUAUUUAGCUUAUCGAUACUAAUAGGUCGAGGACUUGACCAAU
rnacentral:rRNA from 1 species